GUUUUAUUUUUCGUUUUAAAGAACAGGAAAUUGAUGGAGACUACUGGGCCUCACUGAACGGAUGGUUGAAGAACUAUCCCCGUCUAUGAAAUUGCAGGUGAUGUUUGUGAAGGAACUGAACUAGCUCCUAGAACAACAUGAAGUUGGAUUGCCCCUGGACCAUGCUGACAGCAUAGGCAAAAGACUGUCCUGUCUAGACUGUCCUGUGCCAGUGUUGAGAAUGAUGCUUCGACAAAGACCAUGCUCGUCUUCUUUGACCCAACCAUGGCCAACAGUAUUC